rnacentral:rRNA from 1 species
GGCCCGCACAAGCGGUGGAGUAUGUGGUUUAAUUCGAUGCAACGCGAAGAACCUUACCAGGGUUUGACAUCCUGCGAAUCUCUUGGAAACGAGAGAGUGCCUUCGGGAGCGCAGUGACAGGUGGUGCAUGGCUGUCGUCAGCUCGUGUCGUGAGAUGUUGGGUUAAGUCCCGCAACGAGCGCAACCCACGUCUUUAGUUGCCAGCAUUUAGUUGGGCACUCUAGAGAGACCGCCGGUGAUAAACCGGAGAAGGUGUGGAUGACGUCAAGUCAUCAUGCCCCUUACAUCUGGGCUACACACGUGCUACAAUGGUCGGUACAAAGGGCAGCGAAGCCGCGAGGUGGAGCGAAAUCUCACAAAAGCCGAUCGUAGUCCGGA